AUAUGACAUGGCUACAUGACAUUAUCCGAUUUCGAUCCGCAUUUGUUUAUCUUAAUGCAUCGAUGCGGCCCGGGUCGCAGUCGCAGUCGCAGGCCGAGGCAGUUUGCUGAUCGCUAUGGAUGACUUGGCGAUGGACACUUGACACGGAAUCUAUGCCAGAACGUAUUAAAUUGAACCAUACAGAUCGUAUCUGGAGAACAGAACCCCAUCGAUCUAUAAGUUUAUUUAAAUGAGCAGAUCUCAGGGGAGAUAUUCUUAGCAGAGUGGUUUCUGCAUCAAUCUCAAUAUUAAAAAUAUUUGUAAAGUUUCGGGUAAUUAAGAUUCAAGUGUGAUCUGUCUUGGCCAAUAAUUUUGGAAAAACAAUUUCUCUUAAGCACGUCAAGUAUUUUAAUCCCCUGCUUCCAGUAACCUUUCCCCCAAACUAUUCGACGAUAAAAGUCAAAGUUCCUUCGGCCGAAAUGCAGAUCCGUAUCGCGGAUCCAUUACCAUCUCUAAUCUGAAUCUGAGACUUAAUUAGCCGCUGGGGUUCAUUGAGGAAUUAGCCGGAUGCACAUGGCCAUGGACCAGGUCGGGUGGCUGGCUUGGCUUGGCUUGGAUCGACUCGGCUUGGUGGGCGUGUGUAGGCCAUGUGUGUGAGCCAAGUUGGCCAGCGUCGAUGUUUAUUGCCGCGGCCGGUACAGAUUUGGUUAACAGUUAACAAGCUUAUCGCUCGAUACGGUAAACAAAGGUGACGCGGCGGUUGCGCAGCUGUUCCUCCUUAUAACUUCUUAUAAGCCACUCUGGACUGAACUGGACUGGAUAUAUCCCAGGCAGAUAAUUAAGGCAAGACGCUCGCCAGCUGCACUGGGGCCACCAUAGCCGGACCAAUUUGGGCCAAAAAGGAAUCACAGUGUGGCUGGCAGUCGGCUUUUAGAGGCUUUUGUUGUUUGGUGCCCCUGCCGGCGGUGCUCGGGCCUUGUUAACCGCCGAAAAUAGAUAAUGAUCUGAGUUGGGGGCGGUCAAUUUAAUGGUUAACUAUUAAUAACGUGAUACGAAAUUGGCGUUAAUUUGUAGAAACAUUCCCCGCCGCAUGCACGGACUAAUUCGACCAGAUCCGAGCCAAAAGUGUAGCGGGCCAGCGGCCAGGACCGGGCCAAAAAAGGAUGUGAAUGGUGCCUACAUAGGUGGGUGGGUGGUUGGCUUCACUUUUCGGCUUUCGGCUUUUCGGCGGUUUUUG